UACGAAGGACCCAAGCGUUAUCCGGAUUUAGUGGGUUUAAAGGGUGCGUAGGCGGAUUAUUAAGUCAGUGGUGAAAGCUCUCGGCUCAACCGGGAAAUUGCCAUUGAUACUGAUAGUCUUGAGUAUGAUUGAGGUGGGCGGAAUGUGUCAUGUAGCGGUGAAAUGCUUAGAUAUGACACAGAACACCGAUUGCGAAGGCAGCUCACUAAGUCAUAACUGACGCUGAUGCACGAAAGCGUGGGGAGCAAACAGG
rnacentral:rRNA from 1 species